CGCCUCUUGAAUCUUAUAAGAGGUCCUGCCUGCCCAGUGACUAUAUGUUCAACGGCCGCGGUAUUCUGACCGUGCGAAGGUAGCGUAAUCACUUGUCUUUUAAAUAAAGACUGGUAUGAAUGGCCCCACGAGAGCCUUACUGUCUCCCUUAUUUAAUCAGUGAAACUGAUCUUCCCGUGCAGAAGCGGGAAUAUUACCAUAAGACGAGAAGACCCCAUGGAGCUUAAAACUAAAAAUCACCUACUCAAACAUCUUUCCCAUGGGAUUACCUUUUAACCCUGUAGAGAAUGAUUUAAGUUUUCGGUUGGGGUGACCACGGAGAAAAGAAAAUCCUCCUUGAUGAAUAAUUAAACCACGAGCCACCGCUCUAAGUAUUAGAACUUCUAACUAAAUUGAUCCAAUAAUUUUGAUCAACGGACCAAGUUACCCUGGGGAUAACAGCGCAAUCCAUUUCAAGAGUCCAUAUCGACAAAUGGGUUUACGACCUCGAUGUUGGAUCAGGGUAUCCCAGUGGUGCAGCCGCUACUAAAGGUUCGUUUGUUCAACGAUUAAAACCCUACGUGAUCUGAGUUCAGACCGGAGAAAUCCAGGUCAGUUUCUAUCUAUGAAGAACUUUUUCUAGUACGAAAGGACCGAAAAAGUAGAGCCCAUAACCCCGUUACGCUCUUGUUGAAAAUUUAUGAACCCAUCUCAAAUUAACCUCAACCUUCCCUAACACCCUAAAUAAGGGCA
rnacentral:rRNA from 1 species